GACGAACGCUGGCGGCGUGCUUAACACAUGCAAGUCGAGCGGUAAGGCCCUUUCGGGGGUACACGAGCGGCGAACGGGUGAGUAACACGUGGGUGACCUGCCCUCAGCUCUGGGAUAAGCCUGGGAAACCGGGUCUAAUACCGGAUAUGACUCCAUGACGCAUGUUGUGGGGUGGAAAGCCUUGUGCGGCUGAGGAUGGGCCCGCGGCCUAUCAGCUUGUUGGUGGGGUGAUGGCCUACCAAGGCGACGACGGGUAGCCGGCCUGAGAGGGCGACCGGCCACACUGGGACUGAGACACGGCCCAGACUCCUACGGGAGGCAGCAGUGGGGAAUCUUGCGCAAUGGGCGAAAGCCU
rnacentral:rRNA from 1 species